rnacentral:lncRNA from 1 species
GAUUUUGGGUUGUCAUUGACUAUGUUGGAUUGGAUUGGAAUUGGGAUUAGAUGUGAAUUAUGGUUAUAUCUUGGUUGUGAUUUUUUUUUAUGAAAUUUGGGAAUUGGUUGUAAUGUAGAAGUUAGUUGUAGGUUGAAGGUUAGGGAAUUUGGGAAAAAUGAGAUUGAAUGGACAAAGAGCUCCAUGAAUUUGAAUGGUUUAUG